rnacentral:rRNA from 1 species
GGGAUAACUCCGGGAAACCGGAGCUAAUACCGGAUAACAUGUCGAACCGCAUGGUUCGACAUUGAAAGAUGGCUUCGGCUAUCACUUACAGAUGGACCCGCGGCGCAUUAGCUAGUUGGUGAGGUAACGGCUCACCAAGGCGACGAUGCGUAGCCGACCUGAGAGGGUGAUCGGCCACACUGGGACUGAGACACGGCCCAGACUCCUACGGGAGGCAGCAGUAGGGAAUCUUCCGCAAUGGACGAAAGUCUGACGGAGCAACGCCGCGUGAACGAUGAAGGCCUUCGGGUCGUAAAGUUCUGUUGUUAGGGAAGAACAAGUACCAGAGUAACUGCUGGUACCUUGACGGUACCUAACCAGAAAGCCACGGCU